AUUUCCUAACGGUUCUGGCUCAGAGACAGACGACACGGAGACGUUGCUUGGCGGGCACAGCUACUUGAAGGUCUGACUGGACUCCACCGCGACAAGACCAGAAGUUUAAAUGGAAAACGGCUGAUCAAGAAAAUGUGAGAGACGGGACAGGAAUGUGUGAGAAAGAGGGGAGGACACCAACAAAGGACAGCAGGCCAUAUUCAACUCAGGUCACAGUGGAAAGGACUGAGCCUCAGGACACUACACUAGCCACCGAGGCUCCCUGAUUUGUAUCAAUCUUUAAGGUCAAGGCAGAGUUUCAACGAAUUACCACCGCAAAUCUUGAGGCAAAAUUCAUGUCAAUGUUGGACCUUUACUCUCCUAAACUGCUUUCCAUCUUCCAAGCCAAGAAAGGUGCUGCUGGAGAGAGACAUCGUGCAGAAAUGAAUACUCUGCUCCAGAGCGGAAAUUCCAUUCAGAAAACCAGAGAAGUUGUCCUCCGAUGUCUCAUCGAUCACCUUGGUGAAGACGUGAGUGCCUUAAUCAAGACUUUUGAGAAUGUUAAUACAGCUGUCGAUGUGGAAGAAGAGCUGGCAGCACAGGUGAUGGCUGUGAACCUGGUCCGGAAUGAAUGUGGACAGGUCGAUGAUGUUGGGAUCGUCAUUGAAGGUUCCACUGUACUCAGCCAUCUUGGAGAUCUCAGCAGAGCCUGUUGCUACCUGCUAGGACUGACCUAUGCUUUGGAUCUGAAAUACCCCAAAACUCUUAAAUACAUUUUUGAGGUAUUUCAAAAGAUGCUUGUGGAAGUGGAUUCCGGAAAGCUUUCAGCAAAGGUGCAAAGAUUGACAAACAGUAUGGUCAUGUAGUUGCUGAGAGGAAGCUGUUCAGAUGAGAACAUGUGACUCAUACCCAAUUGAGCCAUGUGUGGAAUGUGAUAUAUGACUGUUAAUAUUGAAGUUAUGUACAGAAACCUGGACAAUCUAAAGCGCCAUUUAAUCAGAUGAUCUCCAGGUGUGGUCAGGCUCACAGUGUUGGAAAGAUUUCAGUGUGUUUUGAGUCAACAUUGUACACCUUCCAUUGAUAAGCCUUUAUCUUUCUUUUUUCCCAUGUAUAAGCCAUUAAGCAUGAUUUCAGUUUACAGGAAAUUUCCCUACAAAUGUCUUAAAUGCAUUUGAAGUUCAAAGUAUCUUGAAUUGUUAGAAAUACGGAAGUCUUUAAAAAAGCAUGUCCAAUACAGAUGACAGAAGAGUUAGACUAAAGUAAAUCAUUUAGAUUUUGCCAAAAAGUUGUCAAAUAAAAUGUCCAUGUUUUGUGA